rnacentral:rRNA from 1 species
AUUGAACGCUGGCGGCAGGCUUAACACAUGCAAGUCGAGCGGGGGAAGGUAGCUUGCUACCGGACCUAGCGGCGGACGGGUGAGUAAUGCUUAGGAAUCUGCCUAUUAGUGGGGGACAACAUCUCGAAAGGGAUGCUAAUACCGCAUACGUCCUACGGGAGAAAGCAGGGGAUCUUUGGACCUUGCGCUAAUAGAUGAGCCUAAGUCGGAUUAGCAAGUUGGUGGGGUAAAGGCCUACCAAGGCGACGAUCUGUAGCGGGUCUGAGAGGAUGAUCCGGCACACUGUGACUGAGACACGGCCCAGACUCCUACGGGAGGCAGCAGUGGGGAAUAUUGGGCAAUGGGGGGAACCCUGAUCCAGCCAUGCCGCGUGUGUGAAGAAGGCCUUAUGGUUGUAAAGCACUUUAAGCGAGGAGGAGGCUACUUUAGUUAAUACCUAGAGAUAGUGGACGUUACUCGCAGAAUAAGCACCGGCUAACUCUGUGCCAGCCGCCGCAGUAA